AGCUAGACAGUAACCAACACAAGAGCACUUAUAGUAACAUUACCGAUGUAUGUACCGAGUGUACCGAGUGUGAAAUCUACUAAUUUUGGUAACAUCAACUCCAGAUUUAUAGCUAGCGGCCGGUCGGUGAAACCUCUGGCUGAUUUCCUUAAGUCGACAACUUUGCUAACACCGGGUAUGCCUGUAUCGGCCUGAUUUUGAGUGCAGUGAUAGUGUGAUGGGUGAGCACUGUGUCUGUGUUUGGUGGGUGUGGUCUUCUUUGUGCUUGGGCGUGACCUCCAAUCUGCAGUCUGGCUCAUGUGCGGCUGUGCUGAGGCUGCUUCUGGUAUCCAAAAUUUGCGUGGCACACAGCUGGGUCGGAGUCUGGAGAGUUGCAUGGUGCAGAGCAACAGCCGCUUAAUGGAGUUACCAGAACCCCCAGGCAGUGAGGAGGCCACAACCGACCAGCCUGUGACCAAUAGCAGCAGACUAAUCUGUGGCGUGUUGAUUGGCUUUGCCGCACGCAGGGAAAGGAAGUUGAGCACACCCAGCUGCAAAUAGCCUAAUUCCAUUCUCUUUGACCCUGAGCUUUCCCAAUAGAACUGACUUUUAGCUUUCGU